GGGGGGGGCGUGUGCAGGAAAGGCAAAUCAAUCUAUCUUCCUGAUAUGCCGUCAACGCGUCUUUAUUUUAUCGCGGCAUUUAACAUGAUUUACCGUCCGUGCGCGGCAAAGUGUGCAGCCAGCUCCCGCGAGGGGCUUUCUGUGCUCGGAUGCGUGACAAGAGUUCAUUCAUAAACAUGAUUUUUUUUUUUUUUAAACCACCAGUCACCGGAACUUCCCUUCAGCAAAGUGGCACAACCGGCGGCCCUCGUACAGGAAGAAUAACUUGUUGACGCCGACACACAAAGCGGGCGCAUCGGCGCUUUCUCGACCUCCCGUCGGACGAGUGACGGGCCACGGGCGUGUCCUUGCUCAAGUGCAACUGCGUUCACACGCCGACGGAAAGCAUUUUUGGAAAAAAAUUGCCGUCGUACAGUCAAGACUUUGGAGUGGCCCUCGCAGCCGGGAAGGUCUACUACAGUAAUGGUCGUCAUCAUGGGAUUGAAGCUGCGCAGCAGCUAGCCGCUUGCAUCCAGCGAAUUGUCAACAAAAGAGCUGCAGCACAGGUCAAAACAUGCCUUGGUAGGCCAAAGAGAGCCACAGUAUGUGUACUCCCCCACCAUGAGGAAGCACCUUUAUUUGAUUUUUCCGACCCCCCCCCCCCCCAAGUGGUGGGCACAUAAUCCAUCUAUUUCGGGUCUUGCUGGAGCCCAUCCCGGCUGACUCUGCGCGAGAGGUGGGGUACACCCUGCACUGGUCGCCAGCCAAUCGCGGGGCACAUAUUUAAAUAUAUAUUCAAUAAAUCUCGCAUGCAUUGUUUUGGGGGAGAUAUGGGAGGAAAGCGGAGUACCCGGACAAAAAGCCACGCAAGCACGGGAAGAACAUGCAGACGCCACACGGGGCGAGGAGCGGAUUUGAACCCGGGUUCUCACAACUGUGAGGCGGAUGUACGCCGUUCCGCAGAAACAUAAGCACGCAACAUUAUUGAGAAAUAUAUAUAUAUAUAUAGAUAGUGAGGAAAAAUAUGCACAGCAGCUAUCAAUCACAACCAAGUGAGUCAUACGUCACGACGAUAAAAAUACGAACACCUGUGGUUGCCGUUGUAUCUUCUUUUUUUAAAAAUAAUAACCAGACAAAUUCCUCAGUCCCACGCGUUUAUUUGAAGCUUGGCGUUUUGUUUUUUUUUUCCCCUCAAGCCCGUAAAAUGCGGCUCGAUUCCCAAGUGAAAGGCAACCGAGAGGUGAGUGCAGCGGCUAGCUGCAACGCUAGCUGCAAAUGUUAUUUAGCAUGUCAACAGCGGGGUGCUAAGCAAGGGGCUAGCUUCCCGACGCACUCUGCACAACACAAAAGUCAACCAGGCGCGCUCGCAAACAUCUUUUUGCAUUAUUUUUUUUAUGCACCGUGCAAAAGCGUUCCAUCUUUCCUGCGUUCAUUUCUUAAAAGGUGGCUAGCUUACGCAAAAAAAAAAAAAAAUGACUUCCGUACACACAUACAUAUUAUGCAUUCCUAAGGGGGGAAAAAAAGUAGCGUGAGUGAGUGUUGUAGGGGGGUAAA